CGUCCUUCUCUUCGGGAUAAGCAUGACCUCGUUAGGGUGAAGGGACUUGCUCCCGGAGCUCGAAGAGGUGGCACAGAAUUGGGGGAAGCGACUGUUUACUAAAAACACAGCAGCGUGCGAAGCCGAAAGGCGCUGUAUACGCUGUGACGCCUGCCCAAUGCUGGAAGGUCACGGGGAAGGGUUAGCCCUAGGGCGAAGCUCUGAACCUAAGCCCCAGUGAAUGGCGGCCGUAACUAUAACGGUCCUAAGGUAGCGAAAUUCCUUGUCGGGUAAGUUCCGACCUGCACGAAUGGCGUAACGACUUCCCUACUGUCUCAACCACAGACCCAGCGAAAUUGAAGUACGAGUAAAGAUGCUCGUUAGCUGUAGAAGGACGAAAAGACCCCGUGGACCUUUACUAUAGCUUGAUAUUGAGUCUUGUCAUGCGUUGUGUAGGAUAGGUGGGAGGCUAGGAAGCAUGCACGCCAGUGUGUGUGGAGCCAUCCUUGAAAUACCACCCUGCGUAUGGCGGGACUCUCACCCUGACCCGUUAUCCGGGCCGGGGACAGUGUCAGGUGGGUAGUUUGACUGGGGCGGUCGCCUCCUAAAGAGUAACGGAGGCGCCCAAAGGUUCCCUCAGACUGGUUGGCAAUCAGUCGUCGAGCGCAAUGGCAUAAGGGAGCUUGACUGCGAGACGUACAGGUCGAGCAGGUGCGAAAGCAGGGCAUAGUGAUCCGGCGGUUGCGUGUGGAAGCGCCGUCGCUCAACGGAUAAAAGGUACCCCGGGGAUAACAGGCUAAUCUUCCCCAAGAGUCCAUAUCGACGGGAAGGUUUGGCACCUCGAUGUCGGCUCAUCGCAUCCUGGGGCUGAAGCAGGUCCCAAGGGUUGGGCUGUUCGCCCAUUAAAGCGGUACGCGAGCUGGGUUUAGAACGUCGCGAGACAGUUCGGUCCCUAUCCUCUACAGCCGGAAGUGACUUGAGAAAAGCUGUCCCUAGUACGAGAGGACCGGGAUGGACGCAGCUCUCGUGUGCCAGUUGUCCUGCCAAGGGCAUGGCUGGUUAGCGACCUGCGGGCGAGAUAACCGCUGAAAGCAUCUAAGCGGGAAGCUCCUUUCAAGAUGAGGUCACUCACAGGGUCAACCUGGUAAGGCCCGUGGUAGGCCACCACGUUGAUAGGCCGGAAGUGUAAGCGCGGUAACGCGUUCAGCUGACCGGUACUAAUCGGCCGAGGGCUUGGCU
rnacentral:rRNA from 1 species